UCUUUGAAAUGCAAGUUCUAUUCAUUUUUAUCAGCUGAGUGAACUAGAGCAGGGUGAAAUAAAGUGUCUUGCACAGGACUCAAUGCACCACUGGGAAUCGAUCUCACGACCUUACGAAU